rnacentral:rRNA from 1 species
UACGUAGGGGGCGAGCGUUGUCCGGAUUUAUUGGGCGUAAAGAGCGUGUAGGCGGUUCGGUAAGUCUGUCGUGAAAUCCUGAGGCUCAACCUUGGACGUGCGAUGGAUACUGCCGGGCUAGAGGAUGGUAGAGGCGAGUGGAAUUCUCGGUGUAGCGGUGAAAUGCGCAGAUAUCGGGAGGAACACCGGUGGCGAAGGCGGCGACCUGGGUCGAGACUGACGCUGAGGCGCGAAAGCGUGGGGAGCAAACAGG